UACAGAGGCCACAAGCGUUAGACGGAAUCACUGGGCUUAAAGCGUGUGUAGGCGGGAUGGUAAGUACCUUGUGAAAUCCCACAGCUUAACUGUGGAAAUGCUUGGUAUACUGCCGUUCUUGAGUCACCUAGGGGCAGCUGGAACAGAUGGUGGAGCGGUGAAAUGCAUAGAUAUCAUCUGGAACGCCAAUGGUGCAGACAAGCUGCUGGGGGUGUACUGACGCUGAGGCACGAAAGCCAGGGGAGCAAACAGG
rnacentral:rRNA from 1 species